UGCACCUGCUUGGGUGAACUCACCCUAAUUCACCCAUUAAUGAUAAUUCUUUUGUUUUUACGCUGUGCUUCUGUUUCCUUGUGCAGUCUGAGAAAAGUGUUGACGUGGCACCAGAAUCAAAGACAAAAGAAGAAAACAAAACACACUCGACACUUCUACCUGAAUAUGGGCUUCCUUUGGGCCCAGGAAAAAUGCUAAGCUUUCAGGCCAAAGAUGAUCAUGAGGCUACAGACGAUAAAGGGAGAAUUAAAUGGGUAACAAAGUGGCCAGAUACAAGACCAGUCUCAGAGGGAGAAGUUUUAACGGUGAAGAAGGACGGCUAUUACUUCCUAAAUCUUCAGGUGACACUGUGUUCAUGUGAAGAAAAUCACACAGUCAGCCUGAAGUGGAACGGCACACCCCUCCUGCAAGGGCGGACUCAUACAGAGUCAUGCAGCACUGGCCUCCUGGGCAAGGUAGAAGUGCUUUCUGCGGGAGGGACCCUAGAGGUCACCAUUAACCCUAACAUGUGUGUUAAUACCAGUGCAUAUUUAACACACCUGGAUAUUAUCUACAUGCUCAAGCUUUAGUUGCAGCUUGGAAAAAAGAAUAUAUCUAUCCCGAAUCCAUGGCAGAACCCAGGACGUCCGUCCAACCCCAAAGGACCCAAAGACCCUGGUCACAUUCACUGAUGGCAUC